CCGGUGGGGGAUGGGGCAUGCGGCGCAUUAGCUAGUUGGCGGGGCAACGGCCCACCAAGGCGACGAUGCGUAGGGGUUCUGAGAGGAAGGUCCCCCACACUGGUACUGAGACACGGACCAGACUCCUACGGGAGGCAGCAGUGAGGAAUAUUGGUCAAUGGGCGCAGGCCUGAACCAGCCAAGUCGCGUGAGGGAAGACGGUCCUACGGAUUGUAAACCUCUUUUGUCGGGGAGUAACGUGCGGGACGGGUCCCGUAUUGAGAGUACCCGAAGAAAAAGCAUCGGCUAACUCCGUGCCAGCAGCCGCGGUAAUACGGAGGAUGCGAGCGUUAUCCGGAUUUAUUGGGUUUAAAGGGUGCGCAGGCGGCGCGCCAAGUCAGCGGUCAAAGUUCCGGGCUCAACCCGGUGUCGCCGUUGAAACUGGCGUGCUCGAGUGCGUGCGAGGAGGGCGGAAUGCGUUGUGUAGCGGUGAAAUGCAUAGAUAUGACGCAGAACUCCGAUUGCGAAGGCAGCUUUCCAGCGCGCUACUGACGCUGAGGCACGAAAGCGUGGGGAUCGAACAGGAUUAGAUACCCUGGUAGUCCACGCAGUAAACGAUGACUACAAGCUUUCCGGGGCGAAUGGGCCGUGGGAGGGCACAGCGAAAGCGUUAAUUAGUCCCACCUGGGGAGUACGCCGGCAACGGUGGAAACUCAAAGGAAUUGACGGGGGCCCGCACAAGCGGAGGAACAUGUGGUUUAAUUCGAUGAUACGCGAGGAACCUUACCCGGGCUCAAACGACAGCGGACAGCUCCCGAAAGGGAGUCUCCGGCAACGGCCGCUGUCGAGGUGCUGCAUGGUUGUCGUCAGCUCGUGCCGUGAGGUGUCGGCUUAAGUGCCAUAACGAGCGCAACCCCCAUCUCCAGUUGCCACCGGGUCGUGCCGGGCACUCUGGAGGGACUGCCAGCGCAAGCUGCGAGGAAGGCGGGGAUGACGUCAAAUCAGCACGGCCCUUACGUCCGGGGCGACACACGUGUUACAAUGGCGGAGAACAGAGGGGAGCCACGUGGCGACACGGAGCCGAUCCCAAAAAUCCGUCUCAGUUCGGAUUGGAGUCUGCAACCCGACUCCAUGAAGCUGGAUUCGCUAGUAAUCGCGCAUCAGCCAUGGCGCGGUGAAUACGUUCCCGGGCCUUGUACUCACCGCCCGUCAAG
rnacentral:rRNA from 1 species